rnacentral:rRNA from 1 species
GACGAACGCUGGCGGCGUGCCUAAUACAUGCAAGUCGAGCGCAGGAAACUGACGGAACUCUUCGGAGGGAAGGCAGUGGAAUGAGCGGCGGACGGGUGAGUAACACGUAAGGAACCUGCCUCAAGGAUUGGGAUAACUCCGAGAAAUCGGAGCUAAUACCGGAUAGUUCAUCGGACCGCAUGGUCCGUUGAUGAAAGGCGCUUCGGCGUCACCUUGAGAUGGCCUUGCGGUGCAUUAGCUAGUUGGUGGGGUAACGGCCCACCAAGGCGACGAUGCGUAGCCGGCCUGAGAGGGUGAUCGGCCACACUGGGACUGAGACACGGCCCAGACUCCUGCGGGAGGCAGCAGUAGGGAAUCUUCCACAAUGGACGAAAGUCUGAUGGAGCAACGCCGCGUGAGUGAUGAAGGUUUUCGGAUCGUAAAACUCUGUUGUAAGGGAAGAACACGUACGAGAGGGAAUGCUCGUACCUUGACGGUACCUUACGAGAAAGCCACGGCUAACUACGUGCCAGCCGCCGCCGUAA